ensembl:lncRNA
AUGCAGCGGUUCAACUGGAUUCUGGAACAUAGGCCAGUUGGAUCUAUGGAAGAGAUGUUUUUGAUGUCAUUGAGCAUCAGGCAUUGUCUAGAGUCUCCAAAUUUUAUGUCACGUUCUCUGUGGAAAUUGCAGCACACAGGCACACGAUGUUUUGAAGGGGAAGGCCACAGGGAGAAAAAGAGAAAUAAAGAGAUGCAUGAACCUGUUAAUCAAUUCAGAUUGAACUAUAAUGUGAGAGCUGAAGGAAGCAGAGAGGAAACUGAGGCUCCAGGACAAUGAAGAACUCACCCUCAGACACACUAGUCCAGACAGAGCCCACUAUUUUCUGUAGCUCCGUGGUUCAGAGCACGUGCUGUGCAUUCAAAAGUCUGUGUUUUGUGACCUGUCUCUAUUACUUACUACCUGCGUGGACCUUGGACAAGCUAAUUUCGCUACUGUAUUGCAGUUUUUUCAUCAGUGAAGUGGGGAUAAUAAUAGUAUUCUAAUAGUGUUGUGAGAAUUAAAUGAGAUAAUGUAUCCACAAACCUUCUAUCCGAGCCUGGUACAUGGUAAACACUCAACAGAUAACGUUGUUAUUCUGUGCUGCCUUUCCCUGUGAAGGCAUUGAGCCCAGCAUACCUUUUAUUUAUGUGUCCAUUUUAAGUAAACACAACCAUACAGCAAAGUAUUCAGAUCAUAAGUGUAUAGUAUGAUAAAUUUUCCCAAAGUGUACAAAAUCACACGGUCUCCACCCAGAUAAAGAAACAGAACUGUACCAGAACACCAGAAACCCUUCUUGCCUCCCUCCCAGUCAUAAUCCCCCCAAUAAAUGGAGCUACGAAUCGAAUUUCUUUCAUGGUGUAUCAAUUUUGCCUGUUUUUCAACUUUAUAUGAAUGGAAUCAUGCCAUAUUUAUUCUUUUGUAUCUGAUUCUUUUUCUUUUGAAGUACUAUGUUUGUGAGAUCCAUUACUUGUAACAGCAAUUUAUUAAUUAUCAUUGCUGAGACACUGCAUUUUCUUAUUAUAGACACAAAACACUAGUGUCUUCUAAACAGGUAUAAGGAAUGUACGAAGUAAGUUGUUAAUUAAAAUUGAUACCAAAGUUGGGUAAUGUUUACUUUAAAAUUUUAUUUAAAUUAGAGAUCAUUCACUGAGCAAGUCUCAAAUUCUCAUUAUCCAGAUGGGAAAACUGAGUUCCAGAGAAAGUAAAUUGUCAAGUCCAGGAUCAUGGAGUUAGUAAGUAAAAAUUUAAGACUGAAUGGAAAGAUAAAAGAAUAGAGGAGUCUGGAUGUUGGUUUUAGCUGGAGCAAAACAAAGCUAUUGCAACAAUGGCAUAGCCAUCUUAAUUUUUGCCUCUUUGAUCCACUGCUUGUUCUGUGUAAGAACCAGUUACUUGGCAGCCCAAGCAUUCCUUCAACAGUGUUAAGUGUUCCAGAGCCUGUUGCUAUUCACAAUUACAGAGCAAAAUGGAGCCCUUCUUUUACUUAACCACCAUUUUAUAUUCUGAAGACUAUAAAUAUCAGUUGCCACUUAAAUGUAAUUUGACUUUUCGAAAGAAAAAGGGGUCUAGUCAAACAAAAGAGUUACUUUUUCCCCAUAUAAAUGUUAUCUGAUGACAGCACCAGUGUUUGUCACCUCCACAAUGACAUAAGAUGUUCAGCAUUUCAUCAAGCAUCUGAAUUUCAUCCCUGUGGCCAACUUUAACUCAGUUGGUUCAUUAAGUAGUUGUCAUGUAAUUUCAGUCAUUAAGUUUGAUCAUAUCAUGUUCAUGGCAUCACAGUUGCUCUUCAGUAUUAUUGAGUUUACUUGAUACUACAUAAUCUAGUCUUAGAAAAUACCACACGGCAGAAUUGAAAAAAAACAAAACAGAAAAACUUUCUCAGUCCUGGCCAAAGAUGAAGCACACUUGGACAGCUGUCAAUGAAAUGAAGUCCUGCACCUCUGCUAGUUAAGCAGAAAUCAAAUCCCUCAUAUAGAAAUAAUCUUCCUUGCAGAGGGUCAAGAGAAAUGUGCAGAGCCCACCAGGGAUGGGAAAAGCUGUGCUCUGAACCUAGAUUUAUCAAUGACACAACCUCUAACGAAAAAGACUAAGUACAAUAUACAUGGGCUCCUUUGCUUUCUUCACUCUAUAUAAUCUGAUUAAAAUUCUCUAUAACCGCGAAACCCAAAUUGGAAAAAUAUAUUAUCUGAAAAUAUGUUUAUUACUGAUGUAAUAAUUUAGUUUCUGUGUUGCAAGUAAGGAAAUCAUUUAUGUAUUCACACUUCAAUGCUGUUAAGUGUUUUUACUUCGUAUGUUUUCAUUUUCAUGCUUUCUGUACUUAGUCUGC